CAUUCCAGGCCUCACUGCUGAAAGUAUCAGGACUGUGACGCUAACCCUAGCCCAGGCUAUGAUGCUGUGUCAUCUGGUCUCUCAGCCAACCCUCUCUGCAAAGCCCAGGAGCUGAGAAGAAAGUAAGGCCCAGAGAUGCAAGGCCACCCUCCUGGGGCCACACAGCUAACUGGGUCGGCCCAGCCCCCGAGUGAUGUCCUUCAUGACGGUCUGCAGCACCACCUCCUCGUACGUGUUCUCCACUAGGAGGAACCUGGCGAAGUCCUCAAAGAUCAGCUCCUGGAACCGGGGCAGCUCCUGACCAGGCGGGACGGCAGAGACAGGAGGUCAGGGCCAGGGGCAGACAGAGGGUCGGUGGGCCCCACCCCCACCCGGCCGGAGGGGCUGGAGCAGGUGGGCGCACCGACUUGCAGGUGGGGGCCAGCUUCUUGAGCAGGAAGGGGAUGGUGAUCUGCAGCAGUGCCUCCCGGAAGAACCUCUUCCGCACGGUGCUGCUGUCGUAGUCAUAUUUCUGCAGGGAAGGAAGGGGGGGCGGGGGCUUGAGGUCAGUGGGCUCUACCAGCGCUGGCGGGUGGACGGAGGCCAGGGGACUGACCUCAGAGUUCACCUCUGCAUGAGGCGACCAGUGGCCGUGCCUCGCAGGAACAGCACUCCUAGUGGUGGCCAGGGCUUAGGCUGAGGGCUUGACCACGCCCAGGGCAGGGGUGGGGCAGGGACAUUCACCUUCAGCACGCGCUCCAGGAUGCGCUGGAUGGACGUGCACAGCUCCUCCUUGGUGGGCCCCUUCCCCAGCUCCUGGUGCAGGAGGGUCUCGAAGGUGUACACGGCAUUGUCCAUUUGCUGCAGGGCACACCAUGGGGCACGUGAAGCCCCUUCCUGGGUGCCACCGAGGGGUCCCCAGCCAAUGCCCCCCAAGGCCUGCCAGGGAAGAGUGGGGAGCCGUCUGUGCUCACUCACUUGUCCACCCACCCACACAUUUACUGAAUGUCCACCAUGUAUCUGGCACAGUGCUAGGCACAGGGCACUCCUGCCUCGAGGGACCAGGAAAGGGCUUGGGGACACAAAGAGCUUCCAGGAGGGCCUGUAAGCCAAGACCUGAGAAGCGAGCAGAGCAGGAGAGAGCAUGCAGGGGAGCAUGGCUGCAGCGUGGCAGGUGACCAUGGGCAGGGGCCGGGGCAGAGGGGCCUCCCGGGCAAUGGGCCCGUGGCAGGCAGUGAGCAGGGCUGGGGUGGGGGCAGCAGCCUCAGGCCCACCUCCCGCAUGUGGAUCUGGGCUCGCUGCUUGAACACGGACGUGCUGGACACGUCGAAACGCUGCUGCAGCCCGUCCAGCCGUAGCGGCUCCAUCUUCUCGUAGCAGCUCUGCAUCUUGAGGGGGUGGUAUGCCAGCUGGGACAGCUUCUCCAUGUACUGCAGGGAGGCAGGGCCGUGUGGGGGCUGAGCUGGGCCGCCCGAGUGGCCAGGCAGCCCCGCACACCCACACUCUGCCUGGGCCUUCGCAGUCCAGGCCCUGGGGCUGGCACCGGCUACCAGGGAUGGCCACCAGGGGUGGUGCCCACAAAGGGAAGCCUGGCAGGGCCCAGGACAGAGGAUGAGGGAGGCAGGGGAGCAUGUCCAGCAGCACAGCGCUGUGGAGAGGCCAGUCUGGAUGCUGGGAGAAGGUUCUCUUCCUUUCUGGGGUGCCAGGUGACCUUGGGCAAGUCUUCACCCUCUCGGAGCCUCCAUUUCCUCAGCCUCAAAAUUGAACUUCCACCAGCUCUGGCCUCUGCUCUGGGAUCCCCUCUGGCUACAGGGACUGCCUGGGAUGGGAGGGCCUGCCCUUCCCUCCCCGGGGUGACGCGGCCUCACCUCACCCAGCUUGUCGAUGCCACCCUCAUUGAUGACGUUCAGGUUCAUGUCGGUGACCUCCUUGAAGAAGACGUCCCGCACCUCGGUGAAGCCCUGGCUGGUGGGCACCAUCAGCGCCUCCAGGAUGGAUGGGAUGUAGGGCUGGACGUGGUUCCGCACGCACACCUCCGCCUUGGGGAGGAUGAAGCCUGCGCCCGGGGAGUCACGUCAGCGGGGAUCCCCGGAGCACCUCCCCGCCGCCCCAGAGCCCGGACGCUGGAGGCAUGCUGUCCUAGUAUUCUUAAAGAAAACCGCAGUGGCGACAUUAGCAAGCUGAAUGACUCCAGAAGAACAGCUGAUAAUGACGAUAAAUGCACACGGUAAAAACAGCAGGGUGUUCUAAGACUGGACCCUGAUAUUUCUGAAACUGUGACAGUAAGAAACUGAGAAAACUAUUAGUCCAAAAGCGAUAGCAGUUUUCUGCUUAGCUAGAGGUAGAGAAAAAACUCAUCUUUGGGAGUCUUGAACAAAAAAACAGAAAAACACUUUAGUGGAUUCAAUGAACUUCUCAGUUUUAUAAAAACCCCGGCCAAUCCUCGGGAAUGCUGUGGCCUAGAGCUGCGUAAUUAUGUAAAAGGCUCUCUUCAUGGUGGGCAGGGACCAUCUCCAGAACAUUCUCACCAAUGCCUUUCCACCCAGGGGUAUUUUGACAUCCACCCCCGCUCCCGCACAGUAAAAAUUGUUUGUUCCACAGAAUAAAUGUCAGCUCUCAGUGUCCUCUCCGGCUCCUAAGGAAUAGCUGGUAAAUAUCACCCACUGGGAAGUGACAACUGCUAAAAUUGCACUCAGCGGAUCUGUUAUGGGGACAAGCCCAUCUGCCUGGGAACAGAAAGGAGCGUAACUGACCUGGGAAAGUUACACGUGCUGGAAAUAAAUCAUCAGAGUUAAACGGAUGUCCACUAAUAAUGACGUGGCAAAAUCUGUGCUGAAUCAAAGAUGACCAGGAGGCUUAAGCCUCCUGGACAAGAAUUUUGGUCUUGGUUGGGCACAGUGGCUCAAGCCUGUGAUCCCAGCACUUUGGGAAGCCGAGG